rnacentral:rRNA from 1 species
GGAGGGUGCAAGCGUUACCCGGAAUUAUUGGGCGUAAAGCGUCCGCAGGCGGUUUUUUAAGUCGAAUAUUAAAUUUUGAGGCCCAACCUCAAUCCUGUAUUUGAAACUGGAAAACUAGAGUCUUUCAGAGGCAUGUGGAAUUCUGUGUGUAGGGGUAAAAUCCGUAGAUACACAGAGGAACACCAAAAGCGAAGGCAGCAUGCUGGGAAAGUACUGACGCUCAUGGACGAAAGCGUAGGUAGCGAACGGGAUUAGAUACCCCGGGUAGUCUACGCCGUAAACGAUGGAUACUAGGUGUUGAGGGACUCGACCCCCCCUCAGUGCCGACGCUAACGCAUUAAGUAUCCCGCCUGGGGAGUACGAUCGCAAGAUUA